CCUACGGGUGGCAGCAGUGGGGAAUAUUGCACAAUGGGGGGAACCUUGAUGCAGCAACGCCGCGUGGGUGAAGAAGUACUCCGUUAUGUAAAGCUCUAUCAGCAGGGAAGAAAAUGACGGUACCUGACCAAGAAGCCCCGGCUAACUACGUGCCAGCAGCCGCGGUAAUACGUAGGGGGCAAGCGUUAUCCGGAUUUACUGGGUGUAAAGGGAGCGUAGACGGCAAGGCAAGUCUGGAGUGAAAGCCCGUGGCACAACCACGGGACUGCUGUGGAAACUGUGUUGCUGGAGUGCAGGAGGGGUAAGCGGAAUUCCUAGUGUAGCGGUGAAAUGCGUAGAUAUUAGGAGGAACACCGGUGGCGAAGGCGGCUUACUGGACUGUAACUGACGUUGAGGCUCGAAGGCGUGGGGAGCAAACAGGAUUAGAUACCCGGGUAGUC
rnacentral:rRNA from 1 species